rnacentral:rRNA from 1 species
UACGGAGGGGGCUAGCGUUGUUCGGAAUUACUGGGCGUAAAGCGCGCGUAGGCGGACCUGCAAGUCGGGGGUGAAAGCCCGAGGCUCAACCUCGGAACUGCCUUCGAUACUGCGGGUCUCGAGUCCGGGAGAGGUGAGUGGAAUUCCUAGUGUAGGAGGUGAAAUUCGUAGAUAUUCGCAAGAACACCAGUGGCGAAGGCGGCUCACUGGCCCGAUACUGACGCUGAGGCACGAAAGCGUGGGGAGCAAACAGG